GCAUUUCCAGGUCUCUAUCAGCAGAAUUGGAAUUACUUCAUCAUUUUCAGCAUUUCUUUUUCCUUUCCAGCAUUUAUUGCAGAAAAAAUAUGAGGCUUGCUGGUAGUAUUCCCAGGUGACAAAUGUGCACCCAACACCCUACAGAAAAGAAGAACCAUAAAAUAAUUAAUUAUUCCAUUGUAACUCCUGCCUGGAAAACAUCUGAAAGAAGUCACUAGAUUCAGCCCACAUUCAAGAUGAGAAAUACCAGAAGGCAGAGAACACUGAGGCUGUUUUAGAGGCUGUCAACCCCAGGGAGACAGACAGCAAAUAAGUAAGCAAAUAAAUAAAAAUGGAAGGUGAUAAUAAGUGCAAUGAAAAGAAAUGAAGCAGAGUAAAGAAUCAAGAGUAGCAGUUGAGGGGAUGCUUGGAUGUUUUCACACCACUCUGACACAUGGAUGGAAGGUUAGAAGACAACAAAGGAAUGGGCUGGGAAGGACUCCAAAAGCAGAAUCAGAGAUUAUAUCAUUCCUUGGAAAUGGAGAAAAGGAUCAAAAAAGCUGAAUAAAAGGCAAACAUGGAGGAACAGAGUUUGGAGCAAUACCCUGACUUACAUUCAGUACUGUUAAUGGCUCCAGCAUCUUGAAACAAACCAAUUUUGGAUUUUCAGCCGCUGUCCAAGAUGACGUGAACUCCAGGCUAUUGACUUUCCUCUACCUUCAAUGGAAAUUGUCAUGGAGAAUUAAGUUUUUGACAAAUCUACAGCCUAUGUGCAGGGCUUCUUCCUGGGUGUAACAAUAAGGAAUUUGGAAACUGUCUCUAGUUUUGGCCUGGAGUCACACUGCAGCUUGAGACCCUGUCAUUUCCAUCAAGCUUGAAAAUAUACAUCUUAAUAAACUGCAAUACUUCUUAAA
rnacentral:lncRNA from 1 species